GCCCAGAAACAGUUGUGGUGAGCCUGUGCCUUUACACAGCAGACGCUUCAGCUUUGGUUACAGGAGAAGACGAGGUCACAGUGACUGAUUUCACAUGUGCUACCCGCCCUGUACAUCGACAGCCCAGCGCUCUGCCUGGCUCUGACCACACACUAAAGGUCGGGCGAUUUUCUACAUAUCAAAAUAGAUACGUUCAGCAAAAGCUAGAAACCUGACUGCCAAACCCGAUCAUGGACAGGGGCCAGCCUGAGACAGGAAAGGCUAGACAGAAAACUGUCCGCCAGCCCUCGGGUGAGCGACGGCGGCAGGCUGCCUGAACCUGGGCUCUCCGGUAAUGGUUCUAGCAGGUAACCCCUCGGUUCCUGCCUGCCCUCCCUAUGACAUGGAGCCCCUUGUGUCCCUGGAACAGCGCAACUGCAGUAGUGGAAGCUGAAGAGUUAAUGCCAGUUUUAUUUCCCUCUGUUCAAAGGAUGGAGCCAAUUAAAAUGAAGCGAGUCACUAUCAGCCAGUCCCUCCUGGGUAUCAGGUAAGGAUGAGACGCAUCUGUGCUAGUCCAACACCUGAGAAUUUCAACCCCAGACAUCAGUGCAGAGAAUCCUAGAGACCAAAAAUGUUCGGGUGGGCACUCGUGCCCUAGGCUCCACGGCCUUUCGUGCAAGGAGAAAGAGAAACUUCCAAAACUAGCCCCAGCAAGAGAUCACUGUGCUGGUUUCUCAGAGGUGAAGCUGCCUCCCAACUCCACUGGCUCGUGAGGCUAUUCCAGACACCUUCAUCCCCAUCCUUCUCAAUCGGCAUUCACUUCCCUUUGAAGAUGAAAAGACAUGGUCCUAUAGGACUGAAGGUUACGGCACAGAACAGAGUCUAAACCCACCUGUGUGAUUCCAGACUCGCCGAGCCCUGCUAAUUUGUAUUGGAGACACCGGCGCAGCCGCAGCCCCAGCUCCAGCUUACACCGUCCCACUCAAGGGAAGAGGAAGCAAGAAGGGGGAGAAUCCUGGCUGGGCUGUAGUCAUUUUAGAAGGAGCCCGUAGCUGCUGCUAAGAGUCAUCAUCUUAGCAAAUUUUUCCUGUUGCUAAGCCAUUCCUUUACCCAACCUAUAGAGCUUUUCCUGACCAGCUUUUACAUCAGAAUCAUCUGGAAAACCAGGUCCAGGCAGAGGAGGAACAGAAGCAGCUGAUUGCUCUCGAUGGAUCUCCUCGGGGGAAGGAAAAGUCCAAGCCGGCAUUCACCCAGCUGUCAGCAGAAACCGAAGCCUGUCCUAACAAUAUGAAGGUUAGAAAUAAGGGCCACAGCUUUGAGCACCAAAUACUAAACACCGGAAGUCGGGCUGUUCCUGUCUUACGACGCAGCAAGAUGACGUAAUCAGGCCGGCGAAGUACCUGAGGCGGCUUCUCAAGCUCUUAAGUCUCAACCCUUGUGGGGCGGUGAAAGACUCUUUUAGAGGGGUAGCCUAGGACCACCUGCCUGUCGGGUGUUUGCAAUGAGAGUCACAGCAGUGAGAAAAUUACAGGUGAGAAAUAGCAACGGGAAUUAUGUUGUGGUGGGGGUGGGGUCACCACCACGUGGAGAACUAUUGGGAAAGUUGAGAACAGCUGGCUCAGAGAAGUCUCUCCUUACGGUCAAAUCUAUUCGCACUUAAGAUCUUAAUCUCACGCUAUUUUUGAGAAACUGAGUCAUAUAAGAAACUGUUCCCCCCAGCACUAGGGAGGCAGAGGCAGGCGGAUCUCUGUGAGUUCGAGGCCACCUGGACUACAAGAGCUAGUUCCAGGACAGGAACCAAAAGCUACGGAGAAACCCUGUCUCGAAAAAUCCAAAAAAAAGAAAAAGAAACUGUUCCCCGUGGACUGUGCUUAUGAGUUAAAAGUUUUAUUUUGAUAAUGAAAGGAGCUUAAAUUCAGAAAUUGUUAUUUUUAAGGCUCAAACUGAAUAGAUAAAAGCUUUAUUUACCUCUUGUAUGUGUUUUCAGAGUGAAGCCUAAAGCAAGUAACUAAAAACAAGCAAGGUUUGCUUAGCUCACAUAUACUUAAUAGAUAAUGGUCCUCAAACUUCCCAGAGAUCUGCCAAAUAUGGCAUUUAAAAUGUUUAAUGGAAAAGCUUACUAUGACAGGGACCCCCAGCUUUUAGCAGUGACCCCGAGGUCUCCAAAGAAGUUGCUGCAGCACCAUGGAGACUCCAUCUGGAUUGUGGUAACGCUAACCACAGGGCAAGACUGCCCUAAUACCGCACCUGCCGCAGAACUUGGCCCAAACUCUGGACAAGCAGGACACUGAGAGUUGACUGCCCCACUUUGCCUAAACAAAGGAAGAUCCAUCUCUCUCAUGUUCCUCCCCCGUGGGAAAACCUCUCCCCUUCUGGGCCUGGCAGGUGAAACCUGAUGUUGCCCUGGAACCUCUGCUCCCAACUCCAUGGAGAUCACAGGAGCCUGGGAUGACAGUCUAAUAAUGGGCUAGUCUCUGUCAUUUUAAUUGAUAUAUUUGGAUUGUACUUCCUGCUACAAGUUAUCCUUCUCAGAUCUCUGACGGUGUUGACGGCUAGGCUAACUAUAGCUUUGUCGGCUUAGCAGGAGCAGUUAAAACCAGGUUCUUCCCCAAGGCUGCAGCGGCCUUGUUAGCUCAUUUCAUGUGUAACAAACAAGCCUUGCUUUUUCUAGAGCUACUAGGUACCCUGCUGAGAAAAAGCAAAUGGGUUUGUCUUGUUAAAAGGCUUCAUAUUAAAAGAUAGACAGGUCAUGAAAGGAACAUGACUCCUCUCAGGAACAACUACUUACAUUUCUAGUGAAUGAUUACACAAAAAGAAAAAGGGCUAAAAUCUACGUAAGGUCUAAGAAAAUGUUUUAAGAUGUAUGAAGGUCUGAGGGUGUGAAAGCUUAUGUUCUGGGGGUCUCAGAAAACGAUUUAAGAUAUAAAAAUGCAAGUUGUAAAGGUAUAAGUAAGUGAUUAAAGAUAUAUGAAAAUGUAAAACCUUUCCUAUUUCUUUCCCCUUUCUAUGCUAUUGUUACACUAAGAUUUCAAACGUUCAGAGUUUGGGCGUUGAGCGAUGGAGUUCUGCUAGGCUGGUACAGCAGUCAGUGACAAGAUUUUAAAUUGUCUUUGGUUGUAUUCUAAGUGCAGACUUAAGGUGCUUCUCACUGGGUUAAAGACAUUGCCGUCCAAUCUAGAUCUACAUCUCCAGACAGAUGAAAAGAAUAUUCAUGCUUUUUAACCCAAAUCUAUAACUUUUACUAGGACUCAAAGGUGAGAGUCUGCUCCAGCUUUCCUACAGACACCUGUUUCUGCUUCUUCUAUAAUGUGGAUUUCAGCACAGACUGGUAAUGCUAAUAUGCCUAAAACUUACGUUCUCUGGAAAUUAAAAACUCCUAUAAGCCUCUAGGGGAUCAUAAGACUUUGAUCUACCUCUCACAGGUCAAAAGGACUCCAGAUAAGAACAGCCUAAAGUUUCCCCACUUGUCUAUUCCUGAGGGUGGGGUCCCUCUCUCCUGGUCUUGGGACUCCACCCUUCCUCAACUGAAGCUGAUGCAGACCAGUCCAGCUGAUGUGGUGAUCGCUCCCUGUCUCUUCAGCUGGGUCAGCUAACCAGAGGCUUCUGAUGAAUGCCCCCUUGCCUGAUUCCCUUCCUUGCUUUUGACUAGCAUUCCAGUCGUUCUGGGCUCCGACAAGAUCCUAGCUUCAGCAGGAAGUAGUUACAGAAGAGAGAACAUCACCCCUCAUCCUGCAACAGACUGGGAUGUUAAAGCAAAAGGAUACUUCCUUGUAUGGGGAAAAAUAGUUAUCAAUAAUGCCUAUUGGCAUACCAGGAAAGGUACUUGUUAAAAUCGAAAAGGCCCAGAUCUAUCAACAGGUAAAUCCAUUAGCUGAUAUAGCCUACAAUAUGGUAGGUCACGUGAUCUGCUGUAUGUAAAAUAGAAAGGUUAUUGUACAGCUUUAGGAGAAAAUUGUUUCUAUGUAAACCACUCAUGAAUCAUUAGAAAUAGUCUUGCUGGGCUAAAAAAAAAUCAUUGCAAGAAAGGGGACCCGAGAGGAAGUAAGUAACUGGUCCCCAUUCUCACUUCCAGGUCCCUUUUAGAUAUAGCUCUGAUGUCAGCCUCUGGCCCUUCUGCUUCUGCUGACUGCUGUUGGCUCUUGCAUCACUGAUGCCUUAACUAAAUGCUAAUUCCUGUCUGGGCAACAUUAAGCUGAGGGUUAUUAGAUCCCAAUAAAAACAGGUACCAUCACAGAGUCAAGGAUUUGACUCAGGAUACAACUCGAGGUGGGGGAAGGAAUGGGAGAGCCGAAGUUACAUUUUAAGUUUUAAUUCCUAUGCCUCAGAGAUCUAUGGAAGGAAAAUGAAUGCCUCUAAUCUGCAAGCCCCUGGCCAAGGACUGAGAGACAGUUCCUGAAAUGCUGGAGACUACUGUUUAUGGGAGAUAACAAGUCUCACGCUUUCACUCCCUAAACAAGUUUGUUUAAGUCUGUUCACUACAUGAACUUGAUCACAUGUGGGUGGGAGGUUCCUGGGCAGGAAAUACCUCAGGAUGUAUGCUCGCCCCUGAUUGGACCUGAUGGAAAUACUUUAAGAUCCUACAAACCAUGACUCAGGGCCAUUUCCUGGGAACCCAGGUAUGGACCUGACCGGAGCCCAUCUACCUGGCCAGUAUUUAAUCAAAGCUUGCUUCAAAUUUGGCUUUAAACUGCGGUAGUGGUCUUAUUCUUGACCAGAGGGAUUAACACCAGCAUCACUAAAUUAAUUAGUUAUUUAAUUACUUCACUUUGAGGAAGAAACUCGUAAGAAAAUUCAAUCUGAAGGGAUUAAGUCCACUGUGACAUGUCUCACAUUCUAGGGACGCAAACAGAAUGUUGUUCCUGGAGAACCAUCAGGCCAGCGAGGAUGCCAGGCACCACGUCAGCCUGGUAGCUGGAGAAACACACUUCGUCUUGGUUCCAACAGGAAGAUGACCCUUUGAGGCUCCUCCAUACCGAAAAGUCCCUCGUGGGGGAAGUGAUUAACUCAGCGGGUCACAGUGUCAGCUCUGAGGACAGAGGAUGAACGACGUGACGUGAAGGAUGAAAGAAUAUCGUGAUUCUGUCUGAGAUGACUGCCAAGCAGAGAGAUCGGUCUAGAAGCCAAGGAUACUGCUAUAAAUAAAAUAGAAGGGGCUCUCAGGAGGAUGUCCCUCGGGGGAGAGAAACACAUGAGACAAGAAAGGACAAGACAGCAGCUCUCCAGAAAAUGUGCUUCAGAGAGAAAACAGUGCAGCUGCUUACAGAGCAGAAAGAAGUGCCGGUGGCCUAGCCAGCACUAGAGGCAGGAGGAGAGAGUAAGUGUUUCCCUCCAUUAUCUGAUUUGGAGUUUCACACUGGCCCUAGGAAACAGAGUUCAUCCAAUUAUCCCCCACGAUACAGAUAAAGGAAGCAGAGCUCAGAACGCAACGUGAAAUGCCCACAGCCACGCAGCCAGGCAGAAUGCAAAGCCAAGGGAUGUGAAGAGGAGAGGAAGUGACAGGGAACAUCUGUGGAUGUCUGUCUAGUGAGGCUAAGGUUAACAGCCUAAACGAUGUUCAGAUCUGAAGACGAAACCAAAACCUCUCCCUCUUUCGAAGAAGGCAGAGAGAGCUCUGUCCCACAACCUCAUCACCUAGAAAACCCAGUUGCCCCACCCUCAGGCAGAGCUACGAAUGUUCGUGGUUUCGUUCAACAUAGCCGUUGGGCGCAUGUAGCUGGGGUCACACACAACACCUGCUCUGCCCCGUGACAGCUGUGAGAUUCAGGAGCAAUAUGGAGAUAGAGAAUCGUGGACGUGUGUAAGCUACUGGCUCAACGCCUCUGCUCAGCCAAUGCCAGCUGCUAUCAUGGAUCUUGGAUUGAGCAGGAACACAAAUUCCCUGGAGGCCAGUCAUUCCUCUCCGCGCUUGAGAGGUGACUGGAAUGAGGCCAUUUCAGACACUAGAGAGCCAACGGGAAAACCAGUCAAGUCCCCGACAGAGAACCGACAGCUUCUGACAGCGCUCUACACAGGGGGUCAUAAUAGGAUAUGUAUUUAGAGAGGUCUGCUGGAGGAGAACUCAGAUCCAAGAUCCACACAAGAAGACUCCAGGCAAAAAGAGCGACAGCUGAGAAGCUCUGAGGCUGGAGUGGGCUGAGUGUGAUCCAUCAGUAGAAAAACGUCCAGGAGAACAGGCUGGAGACCAGCAGGAAAAGAAAAGAAGCUUGAUACUGAAAUUCUGGAGUCUGCCUUUCUCUCCGGGAAAGUCCUCUGCUCUCGGAGGACUCCGUCCGUAUUUCAUAGGCUCCUUGAAAGGUGACCAAAGGAGCUGCGUUCUCCCUUCUCAUGAUUGCCCGACAAAUGGCAUCGAAAACCAAGCCAAUGCAUCCUGCUGUGCAUGCACGCAAAGGAGAUGGGCCUUGGCCACAACACCCUCGCCAGCCAAGUCAAAACCUCCUUGCUAGAAUCUCGGAACCGCGCCUCACACAGCCAGGAUGUCAAUAGUGUCUGUGUCGCUAAUUGGCCUAUGAAACGGCUCCGUUGCCAUGACUAAGUAAACAACAUUCAGGGACGGUUAUGAUUAAAUUGCUUGGAAGAGGGGAAGGAAGGGCGCAGGGCUCCGCCACUGAGUCAUUAGCAGAAGACAUUCGGAGCCCUGAGUCUGGAACCGGGACUUAGAGGGAUUUCCGAAGGAAGUAAUUUCCUAACUCAGCCAGGCCUUGGGAGCAGAGGAGACAGGGCAGGGCGUAGAGGCAUAAUGAGGAUCCUCAUCCUUUUCUCAUCGGAAAUGCUACGACGUCAGAGAGCACGAAAGGACCUCGGGAUUAACCUGCUGCAGUGUUUUCAAGCUUAAUGGCCUGAAAAGGUGAUGCCAGACAAGUCUCAGGCCGCAAACCCUUAGAUCGGAGUUCUUCGGAGUCCCCAUGCCUCUGUAAGCAUGUGCGUGCACAUGUACGUGUGUGUGCGCGCGCGUGCGUACCCACGCAAACAUAGACACGCAAGCACAUUGCUCGUGUGUGUGGAGGCCAGAAGUCAACAUCACCUGUCUUCCUCCGUCACUUCACCCCUAAUAUUUGUGAGACAGGGUCUCUCGCUGAACCUGGACUUCACUGUCAUAGCUAGAGGACCUAGCUGCUGAGCCUUGAGACCCGCCUAUCUCCACCACAACCAGCCCCAGCGCUGUGCCGGGUUCUCGCGUGGACUCAGCAAGCAUCGUACCCACUGAGCCACCUCCUCAGCCGCUCACCCCCUUGCCUUACAGACCCGGUUUCACGUCUUGAUUUUCCUCAGCCCUCCUCGCUUGAGCUUUUAAGCAGCAGUCAGAACCAGCUGCUUCGAUCCCGCCUGUGAAUGAGGUUUCUCUCUGUGGUGCUUUAUUCCAGUAGAAAGUCAGUUUUCUGGAUGCCUCAGCAACAACCCUGGUGAUUGCUCCAUUAUGUUUACACUACAACAGGGCAGGACAUUGCAGGCUUAGAGCUUGGAAGCCACGGGGACCAUCGUCACCUGGCAGGCCAAUCUGCAUCCCUAUGCUUCUCUGCCUAGGGCAUCAACAGAACCUAGGCAACCAAGACCUCAAGAGCCAGAUCUCCUCCUGGUCCAAAUUCUGGCCUCACCACCUCCUAGCAAGUUCCUUGGUCGUUCUGUGACUCGGUUUCCCUAUUUGUCAUAAGGGUAAAUAAGUACCUGUAUCAAGUUUUUCUGAGAAUUGGAUGGUUGCUAGAGGUCAGCCAUUAACAUAUCCAUCACAUGGUGAACACUAAUGAGGAUUUGAUUUCAGGAGAAAAGUAUCAUAGGGAUACUGUUGCCAAUACUAGCAAUCAGUUCUGGUAAGCUUUUGAUCAUUUUUAGUUGUCAUGUCUGUAGGACUUCAGAACAUUUAAAGGAGAGGAUGAUGAUUAUUAUGCUGUUAUUGAACCAUUAUAGAAUGCAGGAGGCCAACUCUGAAAUGCUGAGGAGACAGAUGAUAAAGUGUGUUCUGAUACGCACACAGGGCUCAGUAGAGAGCCACAGUGGGUGCCGGUGAUAAAGACUUGGUUCGAGUCAGGCAAGACUCCCUCCAGGAGGCCACAUCAAUGUGUUAGCCAGAUGGAGGAGACAGGGAUUGUACCCCUGGAGAGGAGGCAACCAAGUGCUCCUUGUGCCUUAUGCUUCUGAUCAAAUCGCGCCAGUGAAUGCCUGAAGCUGCCAGCCUCACCCCCCACCCCUGCCGCGGCAGCUGCCGAGAUCAAGGCUCACCGCCUGGCAGGCACUGCCUUUUCAAAGUUUACCCCGCCUCCCUCGGCCUCACUCCAGCCUUUCAGGAGCUUCUGUAGUGAGCCAGCCCUUCAAACAGGCAUCCUCUACCCAUAAACCUUAGCACAGGAGCGCUUGUGGGCGUUGCUUUCCUCUUCCUUCCGCCCCAGCUCUGACCAAAGGCCGUGCGGUGAGGGACUAGGAAAUGUUCCCCACAGGCUCAUGUUCUGAAGAAACAAUCUCAGCACUUUUUGAGAGAGAAAAGCAACUUGAGCAGAAUGAAGAGGAACAGGAGCAUGGAAACUUCUUCCUUGGCUGGAGAGAUGGCUCAGCCCUUAAUGGCUAGAGGCUCACAAAGAAAAACAUAGGAAACUUCAUCCAGUAGGACUUCCAUGCGCAAAGCAGGCGAUUUCCAUGCUGUUGUUUGAGAAGAGGGAGCCUCAGCUGAAAGAAAUAACCCCAUCAAAUUGGCCCGUGGACAAGCCUGUCGGGCGUUUUCUUAAGCCCGGACCACCGCGGGAGGUGCCAUCCCAGGCAGGUGGUCCUGGGAGGGAUAAGAAAGUCGGCUGUACAAGCCGCAGGAGCGAGUCAACGAAGCAAUGUUUCUCCACGGUGUUUGCUGCAGCUCCUGCUUCCAGGGUCCUGUCUUGAGUUCCUGCCCUGACUUCCUUUCAGGAUGGACUGUGAUGUGGAACUGUAAGCUCAAGAUAUCCUUUUCUCUCCAAGCUGCUUUCGGUCACGGUGUUUCACCGAAGCAAUAGAAACCCUAACUAAGACACCCGCCAUACUGUGACCACACAAAACAGCCAGAGAACAGUCGUCAGGAGCUGUCCGCCUUGCUUCCUUGAGAUGGAGUCUCUCACUGUCUUGGAAUCUGCCAACCGUGUGCCUGUCCACCUCCCCAGUGCCAGGACUACCCGUUACCACGGCCCCUGGCUUCUUUAGGUGAGUUCUGGAGAGUAAACUCCGAGCUUCGCAGUUACCAGGCAACCAGUUUACCCUGGGAGCCAUCUCCCUAGUCCCUGGUGCACGCUUUGAAAAACCAUUAGUUUUAUCUAAAUGGGUGCCACUUAUCGGCCGUAUUUUUCCUGUCACAAAUCAGCUAACUCUCUUGUCCCUAAAAACAGAUGAAAUUAUCAAUUUUAGGGUCAAAAUAGAUAGCAUCUACUCAGUAAUGACUACUAUUAAUAAACACCCUUGAAAGUAAGAAGAAAGACCUCGGGGUGCAGAUUUGUUUAAGGUGCCCCCUGGAAUUGCCAGAGAAUUUGGGACAUCACGUAUUCUGCGCCUUUCUCUAUCCUGCCCUUUAGAUUGGUGUAAACAAACAUGUACACGGGAGCAUGUAUUUUUUUUUCUACUCAGUAUCCUUACUGCAAGAACUGACCCCACACCCACCCUUGCAGGCUCCAUCCGUGACUUCUGAUUACAAGCUUAGAGCAGGCACAUGACCCUGCAGGGCGUCCCAGGUUAGCUACUGGAAGAGUUCAAAUCAUUUGAUGUCUUUAGUAUUUUAAAAUCACUUCCUUAUGGCUGAUUCUACUCUUCGCUCAGAAAUCAAUCUACUAGGUUAUUCAUAACCAUAAGAAUACAAGUUUGUAUGAUUAACGACUUCCGAGCUUUGGUUGGAGGGCAGCACAAGGAAUAAGCAUUGGGCAUUUCUUUCCUAAAAGGGCAGUCAGUAUCGGGAAAGUGACCCUGGACACAGCCACAGACCUCCAUUCCUAUACCGAGAGACACAGAUUUACAUUUUUCAAAUGCUCACGAAUCCUCAAGGCCUGACCAUACAUGGGCAUUAAAUAUAAUUCUCCACUCAAUGCCCAUGGUGAAUCACAUUCUUACACUUAAAAUAUCUGCAAGCCCCUUACUGGGGUUGGAGGGAAGACUCUGAGGUUAAGAGUGCUCUUCCAAAGGACCUGGGUUCAGUUUCCAGCUGUUCCAAGCACCCAUAUCAGGCCACUCACAGUGACCUGUAACUAUAGCUCCAAGAGAUCCAAAACCCUCUCUGGCCUCCAAGGGCAACAACACUCAUACGGGAACACAUAUAUAGGCACGUACACAAAUCCCACACCUUAAAAAAAUUAUAAAAUGCAUAUAGGAACAAUUUACCAUCUUGGCCUUUCUUAUCGUGACCAUUUUAAAUAUUCACAUUGAGCAAUGUCCUCCAAAACUGGACAAGCUAUACUAUACUAUAUAUAUUAAAUAUAAUAUACGAUAUAUAUUAAAUAUAAUAUAUACUACAUAUAUAGUAUACUAUAUAAAAUGUGGUCUUAUAUAGCUGGGGUCUGUGUUGUCACCAAAGGCCACAGGGAUGCCCAAGGUCUGGGCUGCCUCCUGUGGCCAUGAUAGUGUCCAAGGGCUAUGUCACCACCAGGGCCACGCUGAUCAGAGCGGCCUGUCCCCUGGGCCAUGGUGACAUCUGGGCCUGAGCUGCUGCUGAAAGCCAUGUCUGGGUCUGUGGCUCUACACCAGCCAGGGUCUGGGUUGAUGCCCAUGGCUUCUGUUACCACCGAGGGCCGUGCGGAUAUUUGGGGUGUGCUCAGCCACUUGCGACCAUGUUAGCGUUUGAGGGUCAUGCUGCCACCAGGGCCACGCUGAUCUGGUUGGUCUGCACUGCAGGGACCUGGUAUUCUGUGCCCAGGCUGUUGCUGGGGGCCAUGUCUGGCUCUGGGGUCCUGCUGCAGCGGGGGUCUGUAUGCUACCACGGGGCAGGGGGGCUCAUAGGAACCAUGUGUGUUGAGAUUCAAAGGCCAUGUUGAGCCAGCACUGACCACCACUGGCCCUGGGAGAAUGAGCUGGCCCUGCCCCUCACCCCCGGAGUGGGAGAGCUGGCUCCACUGCUUCCCUGGGCUUUGAGAUAAUCCACCUCAGCAUCUUCCUCAUCCAUGACCUGCUGGACUUUGUGAAGGUACUGGUCCUGCAGAACCAUAGCCAGGAUCUCUCUGUGAGGGUCCGGUAUUGAUGGUGUACCAGAAGCCAGAGGCCUCGAACCAGACCAACAACUCAUUACACAAUGAACAUUUGUAUUUUAAGUAAACAUAUGGACAAAGGGACAUCCUGCACGACACACUGCAGCUCACAUUGCGACUAAGAUGAAUGAAAAGGUGAUGGAGAGGCGGGGAGACGGAGUGAAGUGGUUUUGGUGUCUGUUUUGGGGUUUUUGUUUUUAGUUUUCUUUUGGGUUUUGGAAUGCUACCGGGGUGAGGGGUGGACAUGGGUGGACUCGAAAAUGAGUGGGAUUAGGGUACAUGAUAUGAAAUUCCCAAAUGAUUAAUUAAAAAAUUAUGUUUAAAAAAAGUUGCUGUGCCAUGGUGGCGCACGCCUUUAAUCCCAGUGCUCAGGAAGCAGAGGCAGGACCGGAGCUCUGUUGAGGAAUAUUAUUUUCAUGUGUUUUACUUUUGUUUAUGCUGUGUUGGUUAACUGUGAAGCUGUGUUACUGUGCCUGUCUAAAACACCUGAUGGUCCUAAUAAAGAGAUGAACAGCCAAUAGCGAGGCAGGAGCAAGGGUGGGCGGGGCUGGCAUGCAGAGAGGAUAGAUAGAAGAAGAAAUGUGAGUGGAGAGAAAACGUGAGGAGGACAUCAGGGGCCAGCCACCCAGCAAGUCACAGAGUAUACAGAAAUAGAGAGAGAUAAAAGCUCGGAGGCAAAAGGUAAUCGGGAUAAUUUAAGAAAAUCUGGCAAGAAACAAGCCAACCUAAGGCCAGGCAUUCAUAACUAAGAAUAAGCCUCUGUGUGUGAUUUAUUUGGGAGCUUGGUGGUGACUCCCCCUCCCAAGAAAUCCAAAAGAGAAGAAAAAAAUCACACAACAGAUCUCUGAGUCCAAGGUCAGUCUUGUCUACACAGUUUGUUCCAGGACAGCCAAGGCUACACAGAUAAACCAUUUCUUGAAAAACAAAAACAAACAGAAAAGUCCCUUCACCCCCUCAGCCAUACCUGACUAUUACCAUUCUACUUUCUGUCUCUAUUAAAUCCCAGUUCCCAUUAAAGUUUGAGCCACAUUUAAUCUCUUUAAUUUCUAAGUACACUAUUAGUCUUGCCUAAAGUUCAGACAACCCGGAAAUGCCUAUGACGGAACAUUAAAUUCUUCCCAUUCCCAGCCCCACAACCCAGAAGUAGGUCAUAACUAUUAACAGUUUCAGGUACACGCUGUGUGAAGCUUUCCUAUACAGAUAUUUGGCAGUUGGGAAGGGCAGGAAUCACAUCUCCUCUUAAGGUGGGGUGUGUCUCUUCUGAAAAGUUUCUGUACCUCACAAGCCCCUCCGCCAACAUAAUAAUCCGAAUCAGACCAAAUUAAACCAAAUUAGAAAAAGCCCAGGUUUAAUGGAUACCAAUGCCCCUGGAUGGCUUUCCAGCCCCCAGAGGGGGCAGUUUAAAUACCCUGUAGGAGCUGCCUUGAGCAUCUCUGGGGAGGUGUCAUCAUUUGGCAGGCCUUCUCUCAGUUGGAGUCUGGACUGAGGCAACCCCUAGGGGAGGGGCUUGGGAUGGAACCUUCUACCCAAAUGUUUCAGACUCUGGAUAUAUGGAUGCCAGGGGCUGGGGUGAAGCCUUAACCCAAACAUCUUCAUCACUGUGCCUCUAAAUCUCAUGGACCUCGCACCACUAUCCACUCGCUCUGGUCCCGUGCAUGUGUUGUGCUUUUUAGACCACAACUCAAGAACUCCACCGUCCAUCACUCUGUGUUGAUUCGUGGACACACGCUAUGGUUUACAUACAUGUCUUCCAAAGACUCGUGGCUGGGGCUCCAGCUUGUAUUAUUUGGGGGAGGUGACACAACCUUCAGACACAAGGCCUGGCAGAAGGGGGUUAGGUUAUUGGGAAGGUGACCUUACAGGAACAUUGGAUCCCAGUCCCGUCUCAUCUCUUGUUCCCCUUCCUGUCUAUGAUGAGGCUGACAGAUGUCUGACAGGCCUUCUCUGUCGUACAAUCAUGAUAAACUAGAGCACCAUAGUCUACAGCAACAGAGCCAACUGACCAUGGACGGAAGCCUCCAAAACCAUGAGUCAAAAUGAAUCUCUGCCCUUUAAGUUGAUCGUUUCAGGUAUUUUGUCCCAGUAAGGGAAAUUUAAUUAGCACACGGCCCUCACAGGGAUGAGGAUGAAGUACCUAUAACGAAGACUAUGAGCAUGGAUCUCAUUGUGUACAUCUAUUCUCAAUACUAAAUCAGAAGAAAGGGCAGCAGGCUUUACCUUAAAAGGAAACGAAAGAUCUUAAAUAGUUGGCCAUAAAUAAAAUGGUUUAUUUUUAACAACGGACAUCCCAUAGACAUCCCCAAACAACUCAGUCUGUUACCAGGAUAAUAGGUUGCCCUCCACAAACUGACAGCAAGGCCCCCAUUGCUGAAGACAACACCCACGCAAUUCACUGAAGCUAGAGAGGCCAAGGUGGUGCCUACAGAGAGCCUUCACCCCUACAUCCCAAUGUCUUUGGUAUGGCAAGGUCCUCUGCGGGCUACCCAAAGGGAAGUGUACAUACCAACCCAGCCACAAAGCCUUUGAUCUACAAUUCUGUCCUUCUUACAAAAUAUGCUAGGGCAAUGGUGGCACAAA